rnacentral:rRNA from 1 species
AUGAACGCUAGCUACAGGCUUAACACAUGCAAGUCGAGGGGCAGCAUGAACUUAGCUUGCUAAGUUUGAUGGCGACCGGCGCACGGGUGAGUAACACGUAUCCAACCUGCCGAUGACUCGGGGAUAGCCUUUCGAAAGAAAGAUUAAUACCCGAUGGCAUAGUUCUUCCGCAUGGUAGAACUAUUAAAGAAUUUCGGUCAUCGAUGGGGAUGCGUUCCAUUAGGUUGUUGGCGGGGUAACGGCCCACCAAGCCUUCGAUGGAUAGGGGUUCUGAGAGGAAGGUCCCCCACAUUGGAACUGAGACACGGUCCAAACUCCUACGGGAGGCAGCAGUGAGGAAUAUUGGUCAAUGGACGAGAGUCUGAACCAGCCAAGUAGCGUGAAGGAUGACUGCCCUAUGGGUUGUAAACUUCUUUUAUACGGGAAUAAAGUGAGGCACGUGUGCCUUUUUGUAUGUGCCGUAUGAAUAAGGAUCGGCUAACUCCGUGCCAGCAGCCGCGGUAAUACGGAGGAUCCGAGCGUUAUCCGGAUUUAUUGGGUUUAAAGGGAGCGUAGGCGGACGCUUAAGUCAGUUGUGAAAGUUUGCGGCUCAACCGUAAAAUUGCAGUUGAUACUGGGUGUCUUGAGUACAGUAGAGGCAGGCGGAAUUCGUGGUGUAGCGGUGAAAUGCUUAGAUAUCACGAAGAACUCCGAUUGCGAAGGCAGCCUGCUGGACUGUAACUGACGCUGAUGCUCGAAAGUGUGGGUAUCAAACAGGAUUAGAUACCCUGGUAGUCCACACAGUAAACGAUGAAUACUCGCUGUUUGCGAUAUACAGUAAGCGGCCAAGCGAAAGCGUUAAGUAUUCCACCUGGGGAGUACGCCGGCAACGGUGAAACUCAAAGGAAUUGACGGGGGCCCGCACAAGCGGAGGAACAUGUGGUUUAAUUCGAUGAUACGCGAGGAACCUUACCCGGGCUUGAAUUGCAACUGAAUGAUGGGGAGACAUGUCAGCCGCAAGGCAGUUGUGAAGGUGCUGCAUGGUUGUCGUCAGCUCGUGCCGUGAGGUGUCGGCUUAAGUGCCAUAACGAGCGCAACCCUUAUCGAUAGUUACCAUCAGGUGAUGCUGGGGACUCUGUCGAGACUGCCGUCGUAAGAUGUGAGGAAGGUGGGGAUGACGUCAAAUCAGCACGGCCCUUACGUCCGGGGCUACACACGUGUUACAAUGGGGGGUACAGAAGGCAGCUACACGGCGACGUGAUGCUAAUCCCGAAAGCCUCUCUCAGUUCGGAUUGGAGUCUGCAACCCGACUCCAUGAAGCUGGAUUCGCUAGUAAUCGCGCAUCAGCCACGGCGCGGUGAAUACGUUCCCGGGCCUUGUACACACCGCCCGUCACACCAUGGGAGUUGGGAGUGCCCAAAGCCGGUGAGGCAACCGCAAGGAGCCAGCCGUCUAAGGCAAGACCAAUGACUGGGGUG